AUUGUUUGCUAUGGAGCGUGUGGCACCUCACACCUCUCCAAGGGAGCUGGGGAGAUGUUGAAGAGGAGAGGAACUGGAUAGAUCCCUCUGGGACCCUGCAGGUGGAGAACAAUGUAGUGACUCAGGCUGGGCCAGGAGAAGUGAAGACUCUGUAAUGGAAUCCAGUGAAAGGGAGAAGGAGCAAAAGGAAACAUUGGAGGUUUAGAAGAGACCUAAGUCUGAAUUAUUCUAACAACUCUGUGUCAGGAAACAUAUCCAUGAAACCAAAGAGAAAUAAAGUAAAUCACACUUCA